GAUAGUAGCGGACGGGCGAGUAACGCGUAAAGAAUCUGUCCUCGAGUUUGAGAUAACCUGGCGAAAGUUGGGCUAAUCUCAAAUAAGCUAACAGAUAAGCAUUUAUCAGUUAGAAAAGGUGGUGUUAAACCAUUGCUUGAGGAGGACUUUGCGUCGGAUUAGCUAGCUGGUGAGAUAACAGCUCACCAGGGCAACGAUCCGUAGCUGGUCUGAGAGGACGAUCAGCCACACUGGGACUGAGACACGGCCCAGACUCCUACGGGAGGCAGCAGUGGGGAAUCUUCCGCAAUGGGUGAGAGCCUGACGGAGCAACGCCGCGUGAGUGAAGACGGCCUUCGGGUUGUAAAGCUCUGUCCUCAGGGAAGAACGGUAGAUGUAGGAAAUGGCAUCUACGUGACGGUACCUGAGGAGGAAGCCCUGGCUAACUACGUGCCAGCAGCCGCGGUAACACGUAGAGGGCAAGCGUUGUCCGGAAUCAUUGGGCGUAAAGGGUACGCAGGCGGAUAUGCAAGUCAAAUGUGAAAGGUACCGGCCUAACCGGUAGAGUGCAUUUGAAACUGUAUAUCUUGAGUGCAGCAGGGGAGAACGGAAUUCCUGGAGUAGCGGUGGAAUGCGUAGAUAUCAGGAAGAACACCAGUGGCGUAAGCGGUUCUCUGGGCUGCAACUGACGCUGAGGUACGAAAGCUGGGGCAGCGAACGGGAUUAGAUACCCCGGUAGUCCCAGCCGUAAACGAUGGACACUAGGUGUUGGGGGUUCGAUUCCCUCAGUGCCGCAGUUAACGCAUUAAGUGUCCCGCCUGGGGAUUACGGUCGCAAGACUGAAACUCAAAGGAAUUGACGGGGGCCCGCACAAGCGGUGGAGCAUGUGGUUUAAUUCGAUGCAACGCGAAGAACCUUACCGAGGUUUGACAUCCUGUGACUACCUGUGAAAGCAGGGUUUCGGACUUUGUCCGACACAGAGACAGGUGGUGCAUGGCUGUCGUCAGCUCGUGUCGUGAGAUGUUGGGUUAAGUCCCGCAACGAGCGCAACCCUUGUACCUAGUUGCCAGCAAGUAAUGUUGGGGACUCUAGGUAGACUGCCGGUGAAAGUCGGAGGAAGGUGGGGAUGACGUCAAGUCCUCAUGCCCUUUAUACUUCGGGCUACACACGUGCUACAAUGGUCAAUCCAGAAGGCAGCGAGGCCGCGAGGUUGAGCUAACCCUCAAAGUUGAUCAUAGUUCGGAUUGCAGGCUGCAACCCGCCUGCAUGAAGCUGGAAUCGCUAGUAAUCGCGGAUCAGAAUGCCGCGGUGAAUACGUUCCCGGGCCUUGUACACACCGCCCGUCACACCACCCGAGUUGGAUGCACCAGAAGUCG
rnacentral:rRNA from 1 species